GCAACUUGGAAGAAUGAAAGGCAAUAGCCAGUUACAAUAGAAUUUUUUAUUGUGAAAUCGCCUCUGGCGAAUAAAGUUCAGGGUAGAGUAUUGAUAAUGACAUUUUCUAUCUGUUUGUCUUGACCAAAUUACGUGCCAGCAGUCGCGGUAAUACGUAAAAGACUAGUGUUAUUCAUCUUUAAUAGGUUUAAAGGGUACUUAGACGGUAAAUCAAGCAAAAAAAAAAAAUGAACUAAUUUACUUGAGUAUGAUGUGAGAUGCGGAAGCUUGUUAGUAUUCUUGAGAGAAGAGAUGAAAUUCUGUCAUCCGUCGAGGAAACGGGUAAAGGCGAAA
rnacentral:rRNA from 1 species